CCUGGCCUAGGCCGCUGCUCGUCAGCGCGCUGCUCGAAGCCUAUUACCCUGUCUAUGCGCACCUUUUGUUGUUCCCUCGGUAGCUUGCUGCCGCUGGGACCCCUAAACCCUCUGUAUUAAGCAUCAUACUUCUGAUAAAACCCAAUUAUUUA
rnacentral:misc_RNA from 1 species